GCAGGCAUAACCUGUGAAUGGGGACGAAGUGUGUAUGUAUUAUUUUUUUAAUUCAAUCACGUUGAUAAAAGAAACCGAAAUACCGUACGUAACGUUCCCGAUUUUGAUUGUGUUGUUAGGGAAUAUUAGCUGUGACGUUCUUUAAGUUAUGACGUCAUAUUCGAUGUAAACAAAAGAAACGCUUUCAUCAGGUAACGUUUUUUCAUAUCAAACAAUUAUUAAAAUUGAAUUUGUAUUGAGAUCCAAUCUUAUAUUUUACUAGACUGAUAAAUAUAAAUUUUUUCAAAGUCUCAUGCAAACAAGACAUAUAUCUGCGCAAAAGCGGAGAAAACCGGAACAGGAAGUAGAUCUGAAAAAAAAAGUUAACGAUUUUGAGUUCAUUGGUAGAAUGAAAAAUUCCGGAAAUUUUCCCGAUUUUUUUUUUUUUUUUUUUUUUUUUUUUUUUAUUGAUUUUUCUACCGUAAUUGGGGACUUCGCCCCCAUAUUAC
rnacentral:lncRNA from 1 species